UUUGUUUAAUUUCUCUUUGGUAUUCUUUACACAGUCAAAUGUGAAAAAAAAACCUUCAGAAGAGUUAAUGCAGUCGAGUUUGCUGAACAUCCAUAGUAAUUGAAAAUCACAGAUGAAAAACUAUGUGGCAGGACUGAUGUGAGGACUUACCUCUUGCAGAGG